rnacentral:tRNA from 1 species
UGCCUCAUGGCCAAGCGGUAAGGCAGUAGACUCUGACUCUACGACGCGUUAGUUCGAAUCUAACUGAGGCAGCCA